AAUGCACCAUUUUGCAAGUCGCUCUGGAUAAGAGCGUCUGCUAAAUGACUUAAA
rfam:Salmo salar isolate Sally breed double haploid chromosome ssa09, whole genome shotgun sequence.